GCUGAGUGCAUGAGACAAGACCUUGGCUCCAGCAAGGCUUUUGACACUGCCUCCCAUAAUACUCUCAUAGGCAAAUUCAGCAAGUGUGGGUUAGAUGAGAGGACACUGAGAUGAGAACUGGCUUAUUGGCCGAGCUCAGGGGGUUGUGAUCAGCAGUGCAGGGUCUAGCUGGAGGUUUGCAGCUAGCUGUGUUCCUCAGAGGAUUGUGGGAGUGGCUGUCUUCAAAUUUGCUGCCAACGACCAGGGUGAAAUGACAGUGUGCCCUCAACAAGGUUGCUGAUGACAUGAGACUUAGAGGAGUGGCUGAUUCACCAGAAAGCAGUGCUGUCAACCAGCAAGACCUGGACAGGCUGGAGAGCUGGAUGCAGAGGAACCUGGUGAAGCUCUACAAAGGGAACAGAAGCCAAUUUUCCUGCUGAAUUAAAGGAGAAAGAAGAUCAA